AAAGGAAAAAAAAAAAGAAAGGAAAUGAAGAAGAUAUUAGAGUUGAAUUGGCAACGAUUAAAGCGAUAUUCAUUGGCUGUUUCUCAUGUAAGAUUUAUUUUAUAAUUGAUGGGUUUUGAUGCCCUUAUAAUUAAAUUGAUAAUUCAGAGAUAUGUUGAAACUCGUAACUCAUUAAUGGUUAGCAUUAAGUAUUAACUAAAAUGCAUGAUGGGUUGUACUAGAUUGUUAUAUUGAAAUGCAACAACUUAUUUGUAGGAUUACAAAAUUACCAUUUAUCAACCAGGCUUUCUUUUGUUGAAAUGUAUAAUUGUGAACUCUAAAUAAAACGUCUAGAGGAAUGUGGCAUAAUUGGCUAGAUGGCUAAUAAGAUGGUUGGUUACAAUGAGGCAUUAGUACCAGAUGAUGUUUAGAAACGUUUCAGGGUUGGUUGGUGUAAGAAGCUAACCUAUAAGGGAA
rnacentral:misc_RNA from 1 species